AUUGAACGCUGGCGGCAUGCUUUACACAUGCAAGUCGAACGGUACAGGUUAAGCUGACGAGUGGCGAACGGGUGAGUAAUGCAUCGGAACGUGCCCGAUCGUGGGGGAUAACGCAGCGAAAGCUGCGCUAAUACCGCAUACGAUCUGAGGAUGAAAGCGGGGGACCGUAAGGCCUCGCGCGAUCGGAGCGGCCGAUGUCAGAUUAGGUAGUUGGUGGGGUAAAGGCCCACCAAGCCGACGAUCUGUAGCUGGUCUGAGGGGACGACCAGCCACACUGGGACUGAGACACGGCCCAGACUCCUACGGGAGGCAGCAGUGGGGAAUUUUGGACAAUGGGCGAAAGCCUGAUCCAGCAAUGCCGCGUGCAGGAAGAAGGCCUUCGGGUUGUAAACUGCUUUUGUACGGAGCGAAAAGGUCCUUUCUAAUACAAGGGGCUCAUGACGGUACCGUAAGAAUAAGCACCGGCUAACUACGUGCCAGCCGCCGCAGUAAGAC
rnacentral:rRNA from 1 species